rnacentral:rRNA from 1 species
ACUCCUACGGGAGGCAGCAGUGGGGAAUCUUAGACAAUGGGGAAGCCCAUCGAUCUAGCCAUGCCGCGUGAGCGAUGAAGGCCUUAGGGUUGUAAAGCUCUUUCGCUGGGGAAGAUAAUGACGGUACCCAGUAAGAAGUCCCGGCUAACUCCGUGCCAGCAGCCGCGGUAAUACGGAGGGGACUAGCGUUGUUCGGAAUUACUGGGCGUAAAGCGCGCGUAGGCGGCCAUUCAAGUCAGAGGUGAAAGCCCGGAGCUCAACUCCGGAACUGCCUUUGAAACUAGAUGGCUAGAAUCCAGGAGAGGUGAGUGGAAUUCCGAGUGUAGAGGUGAAAUUCGUAGAUAUUCGGAAGAACACCAGUGGCGAAGGCGACUCACUGGACUGGUAUUGACGCUGAGGUGCGAAAGCGUGGGGGAGCAAACAGGAUUAGAUACCCUGGUA